AGAUCUUCGUAAUCAUGGUUUCCAUGACAACCUCUAAGGAAACACCAAAAUCUGGAACUGAUGUCGAGUCUCUACAGCAUGGGAAUAAUACGAUGAAGGAUGUAGAGAACCAAGUCCUGGAUGCUUGCUCCCAACUGUGUCAGAGUCUUGCUCAGGAUCCUAAAUUGCAGCAUGGCUACAUUAUUGUUGCAUACUUCAGUGGAUGCCAGCUCCUGUGUUGUUCCUGAUGUGUGUCUAAAUGAAUGUCUGAUUCUCUAGAACUGAACUUACACAAAGCUGUGGGCUUCCAAGUAAGUUCUGGGAAUGAAACUGAAGACCUGUAGAACUUAAUUAACUUAAGACCCUCUGCUCACAACUGAUGAGCUUGUCUCCAGGCCAAACUUUCACUUCCUUAUCUGAAUUGUUUAGCUUUCUAACCUGCAUCAAAAUGAUAUUUUGAUUUUCUGUUUUCCAAUCGAGUGUUGAUUUGUAUGCCAGUUUGGACUCAGAAUUUA
rnacentral:lncRNA from 1 species